rnacentral:piRNA from 1 species
UCAACUAGUAAAACAUUUUUA